rnacentral:rRNA from 1 species
UACGUAGGGGGCUAGCGUUGUCCGGAAUCAUUGGGCGUAAAGCGCGUGUAGGCGGCUCGAUAAGUCUGCUGUGAAAGUCCAGGCUCAACCCUGGGAUGCCGGUGGAUACUGUCGAGCUCGAGUCCGGAAGAGGCGAGUGGAAUUCCUGGUGUAGCGGUGAAAUGCGCAGAUAUCAGGAGGAACACCAAUGGCGAAGGCAGCUCGCUGGGACGUGACUGACGCUGAGACGCGAAAGCGUGGGGAGCAAACAGG